rnacentral:rRNA from 1 species
ACGAGCGGCGAACGGGUGAGUAACACGUGAGUAAUCUGCCCUUCACUUCGGGAUAAGCACGGAAACGGUGUCUAAUACUGGAUAUGAGCACCCUGCGCAUGUGGGUGUUGGAAAGUUUUUCGGUGGGGGAUGUGCUCGCGGCCUAUCAGCUUGUUGGUGAGGUAAUGGCUCACCCAAGGCUUCGACGGGUAGCCGGCCUGAGAGGGUGACCGGUCACACUGGGACUGAGACACGGCCCAGACUCCUACGGGAGGCAGCAGUGGGGAAUAUUGGACAAUGGGCGGAAGCCUGAUCCAGCAACGCCGCGUGAGGGAUGACGGCCUUCGGGUUGUAAACCUCUUUCAGUACUGACGAAGCGCAAGUGACGGUAGGUACAGAAGAAGCACCGGCCAACUACGUG